CAUCCGUCCCUGGGAAAAAAGGCCAAGCAAACUCUCAUGACCACACUGCUACAGCACUGAAAUGCAGGAUACGAUGGAGCUCUUGGAGGAGGACCUCACAUGCCCAAUAUGCUGCGGUCUUUUCGAGGAUCCGCGCGUUCUGCCGUGCUCUCACAGCUUUUGCAAGAAGUGUCUGGAGGGCAUCCUGGACGGUAACCGGAGCCCUGCUUGGAGACCACCGUUCAAAUGUCCGACCUGUCGAAAGGAGACCGUGCACAACGGCAUCGCGAGCUUGCAAGUCAAUUACUCCCUGCGUGGCAUCGUGGAGAAGUACAACAGGAUUCGAGUGAUGCCAAGGAUGUCUCUCUGCCGAGUUCACAAUGGACAGCCGCUCAACAUCUUCUGCGCCACGGACCUGAAGCUCAUCUGUGGCUUUUGCGCCACGACAGGCGAUCAUAAAGGACACAAGUUUUGCGCGCUGGAGGAGGCGUACGAACGCGAGAAGCUCGCGUUUGAGGAGUUGUUUCGUGUCGUGGAGGGCUGGAGGGGCGCGGAGGUGCAUUCGUGCCUGGAAUCGUUAGAAGGAGCGAAGAGGAAAGCGCUGGAGAGGGUCUCGCGGGACGCGGAUCGAGUCUCAGAGUACUUUGACAAACUUUUACACACGCUAGAGCACAAACGGAGCGAGAUCCUCUCGGACUUGGAGACUCUGAAGCUCGCGGUCAUGCAGACCUUUGACCCCGAGAUCAACCAGCUCCGCUCGGCGCUCGAGGAGCAGCAGCGUGCACUCAGCAUCGCCGAAUCCUUCCGUUCGCUCUCGGACCCGCUCACUUUCCUCCAGCAGAUGCAGAACUUCAGGGAAAAGCUGCGCGUCAUUCGGGGAACGCCGGUGCCGUCGCGGACUGACGUGGACGUGGGGUUGCUUGGCCUGCAGAGGUUCGAUGUGAAGGAAUGGGACCGGGUGCGUCUUGGAGAGGUGGACAAGCUGUGCGCCCCCUACGAGAGCAGCACCUACCUGGCUUCGCUGCCCCCUGCUGCCGCUCCGCGCUACUCCCGCGUGCUCUGGAGAGUUGUUCUGGUUGUAUGUGCGUGUCUCCCAGCGCUGAACUUUCUCCCGUCGGACUGUCUCACUCUGAGCUUCCAGAAUAAGGUGGUCGCACUCGGUGGCUUUUCUCUGCCCUGUCCUGGAGAGAUUGUGCGCUGGCUUGGGUUGUGCUGGAACGAAGCGGAAGCGAUCUGCACGCUACUAACCGAGCUGUGUCGGAACUGUAUCAUGGACCUGAUAAACACAACAUCAGAUUUCCUCAGCUGAUUUUACAGUAUAACUCCAUUCAUUAGCAGGGCUUGAGGAAUUCCAGGACUCCACCUGAAACACAGAAGAGAGGAGGACGCUUGAGUGAGAACAUACACACAGCAGCUGGACGUGAUGCUGCUGGAUUUUCUGCAGACACACCUCUCAGCAACUUUCAAGCAUUAUACUGAAACCUGUCCUCUGGCAACUUCAUCAGAAAUAAUGAUAUUAAAGAAAACAAGAAACUAGCACCAUUGUCUUCUAGACCAGACUGGAUUUAACCUCCAAGAUGGUGAUUCAGCACUGACAACAUCCAGCCUCGUAGUCAUCUUCAACAGCAGGAACAGACCUGCCACCAGCUUCCCAAAGUGCUGCCCCACAACUGAAGAAGACAUCUCUUAUGCCCACAAUAUGCUAAAUAAGAUAUCUAUUCUUUCUGAAUCAAUUCCUUUGCUAUGUGCUUUAUGUACAGUUACGAUAAAAAAGCUCAUGUUAAUGUUUACCAAGUCAGAGUUGACGUGAGACAUCAUUAACAUAAUAAAGACCUAAUAAAAAAAAAAAAACUGAAGUAAUGAUAGUAAUAUUAGAUAUAUUUAUACACCCAACAAUAGAUUGGCAAACACAGAAUCUCAAAAACAAAGUAUUUUCUUUGACACAUCAGCUUCCUAAAGAUUUAGAAUUUAGUUAUAUCUUAAAAUGUAAUUUAAUUGUGUUGAAUUAUAUUUGAUUUUGGAGAAUUGUAGCAUUAAACAAUAUUUCAAGUACACUUCCAUGCCUGCUUUUUAGUAGAAUAAUGUGAAACAGCAGAAAGGUGAGAUUUCCAGUGAGUGUACUAAAUAACACAGCAUUUUACAGCCAACAACACCACUUGUGAUG